rnacentral:rRNA from 5 species
AAAUUGAAGAGUUUGAUCAUGGCUCAGAUUGAACGCUGGCGGCAGGCCUAACACAUGCAAGUCGAACGGUAACAGGAAGCAGCUUGCUGCUUCGCUGACGAGUGGCGGACGGGUGAGUAAUGUCUGGGAAACUGCCUGAUGGAGGGGGAUAACUACUGGAAACGGUGGCUAAUACCGCAUAACGUCGCAAGACCAAAGAGGGGGACCUUCGGGCCUCUUGCCAUCAGAUGUGCCCAGAUGGGAUUAGCUUGUUGGUGAGGUAACGGCUCACCAAGGCGACGAUCCCUAGCUGGUCUGAGAGGAUGACCAGCCACACUGGAACUGAGACACGGUCCAGACUCCUACGGGAGGCAGCAGUGGGGAAUAUUGCACAAUGGGCGCAAGCCUGAUGCAGCCAUGCCGCGUGUAUGAAGAAGGCCUUCGGGUUGUAAAGUACUUUCAGCGGGGAGGAAGG